rnacentral:tRNA from 1 species
UGUCCAGGGAUGGAAACCAAACCCACAGAGUUCCGCUUACCGGGCAGAUGCCAUGUCCACUAGGCUACCAUCCCUGGAC